AUACUUCGAAUGCGUUAACGCAGCGUGCUACGGUCCACUUGUUACGUAACAAUGGCGGGGAAAUUUCGUGUCAUCUGCGAAAUAAAUUUAACUAUCGAAAACCUAACCAAUUAUUAAUUACCCAAACCCGAAAAAUGGAAGUUGCGAAGUUAAUAGAGUUGGUUAGGGAGAAGAAUUGUUUGUGGGCGGUUGGGGCGGUAGAUUACCGGAACAAAAUUUUGAAGGAAAAAGCGUGGAUAGAGGUUGGCGAGGAAAUGGGAAUAGGGGUGAAAGAAUGCAAGACAAGGUGGAGGUCGUUGAAAGAUAGGUUCAGGAGAGAGAAAAGAGAGGAGGCGUUUGAGAGUAGGAGUGGGGCAGGGGGUGGAUGUAAAAAAAAAUGGGAGUUUAUGGGUAGCUUAGAGUUUUUAAACUCGUACUGCGAAAGCAGGUGAACAUCUAGCAGUGUGCCUGAAGAUGUCACCCUCGUUGUAUAUGAAAACGAAGGUGAUAUCCAAGAUCAGAGGCAAGUGCAAGAGAAGCUGGAAGAGUCUUCUUCCAGCUUUGAUAUCGAUCAGGCCAUUCUACGUCUAGUUAACAAAGGUCAGUAGUAUUCAUAUUUAUUGCUACUACAAAACUCUGAUAGACAAAAAAGUAAAGAUAUCGAUAAUUAGAAUUAUUUGAAAUGGACAGUAUAAUUGCAAGAAAGAUACACAAAAUGAAGAAACAAUAGCUACUCCUCUAAAUGUUUUUUCCAGAACAAGAUGAUGCUGAAAUAUUUGCCCAAUCGCUUGUGCAGACAUUUAGACGAUUGCCAAAUAAAAAAUUUCAGCAGGCAAAGAUUGAAAUUCAAGAAGUUUUGUUUCAUCUAGAAUUUAAUACAGAUUAGAUACAUG